UUCGCCUACGGGGCGCAGCAGUGGGGAAUAUUGCACAAUGGGGGAAACCCUGAUGCAGCGACGCCGCGUGAAGGAUGAAGUAUUUCGGUAUGUAAACUUCUAUCAGCAGGGAAGAAAAUGACGGUACCUGACUAAGAAGCCCCGGCUAACUACGUGCCAGCAGCCGCGGUAAUACGUAGGGGGCAAGCGUUAUCCGGAUUUACUGGGUGUAAAGGGUGCGCAGGCGGUCUGUUAAGUCAGCGGUCAAAGCCCGGGGCUCAACCCCGGCCCGCCGUUGAAACUGGCAGUCUCGAGUUGGAGAGAAG
rnacentral:rRNA from 1 species